CGAUCACAUAAACAAAUGGAGACAAACAUACACGAAACAAACAAGGCUACCAUUAGAAUAGUACACCGCAUAUGAAAACAGUAUGAAAAGUUUAUAAAAUGAUUCUAUGCAUCGCUACGAUCUCACAGACGUAGAGAUCACGAUAAUCGCAGCUAAAACGUAGAAGUUAUGAAUUUUCUAAGAUUUUAUAUAGAAAAAUAAUAAAUUAAAUAGUGUCACAAAAUUAAAAAGUUUCAAACUGAGUAAAUAAUUUUACUAACAUGUAGAGCUCAUGAUUAUGAACCUAACGCA
rnacentral:lncRNA from 1 species